UCCCUCAUAGCUCAGUUAGUAAAUCAUCUGCCUGCAAUGCAGGAGACCCAGGUUCAAUUCCUGGGUCAGGGAG
rfam:TPA: Bos taurus chromosome 12, whole genome shotgun sequence.